AGGGUUCGAUCCUGGCUCAGAACGAACGCUGGCGGCAGGCUUAACACAUGCAAGUCGAACGAGAAGCUUACUUCGGUAAGUGGAAAGUGGCAGACGGGUGAGUAACGCGUGGCAACCUACCUUUUUCUACGGAACAACAGUUGGAAACGACUGCUAAUACCGUAUACGCCCUCCGGGGGAAAGAUUUAUCGGUGAAAGAUGGGGCCGCGUUAGAUUAGCUAGUUGGUGAGGUAAUGGCUCACCAAGGCGACGAUCUAUAGCUGGUCUGAGAGGAUGAUCAGCCACACUGGGACUGAGACACGGCCCAGACAACUACGGUUGGCAGCAGUGGGGAAUAUUGGACAAUGGGGGCAACCCUGAUCCAGCCAUGCCGCGUGAAUGAUGAAGGCCUUAGGGUUGUAAAAUUCUUUCGCUAGGGAUGAUAAUGACAGUACCUAGUAAAGAAGCCCCGGCUAACUCCGUGCCAGCAGCCGCGGUAAUACA
rnacentral:rRNA from 1 species